GUGUCAGCCGCCGCGGUAAUAUGUAGGGUGCGAGCGUUAAUCGGAAUUACUGGGUGUAAAGCGUGCGCAGGCGGUGAUGUAAGACAGAUGUGAAAUCCCCGGGCUCAACCUGGGAACUGCAUUUGUGACUGCAUCGCUGGAGUGCGGCAGAGGGGGAUGGAAUUCCGCGUGUAGCAGUGAAAUGCGUAGAUAUGCGGAGGAACACCGAUGGCGAAGGCAAUCCCCUGGGCCUGCACUGACGCUCAUGCACGAAAGCGUGGGGAGCAAACAGGAUUAGAAACCCGCGUAGUCC
rnacentral:rRNA from 1 species